AUUGAACGCUGGCGGCAUGCUUUACACAUGCAAGUCGAACGGUAACAGGCCGCAAGGUGCUGACGAGUGGCGAACGGGUGAGUAAUGCAUCGGAACGUGCCCAGUCGUGGGGGAUAACGCAGCGAAAGCUGUGCUAAUACCGCAUACGAUCUAUGGAUGAAAGCGGGGGACCGUAAGGCCUCGCGCGAUUGGAGCGGCCGAUGUCAGAUUAGGUAGUUGGUGGGGUAAAGGCUCACCAAGCCAACGAUCUGUAGCUGGCCUGAGAGGACGACCAGCCACACUGGGGCUGAGACACGGCCCAGACUCCUACGGGAGGCAGCAGUGGGGAAUUUUGGACAAUGGGCGCAAGCCUGAUCCAGCAAUGCCGCGUGCAGGAAGAAGGCCUUCGGGUUGUAAACUGCUUUUGUACGGAACGAAAAGGUUUGGGUUAAUACCCUGGGCCGAUGACGGUACCGUAAGAAUAAGCACCGGCUAACUACGUGCCAGCAGCCGCAGUAA
rnacentral:rRNA from 1 species